GGNCUAUACAUGCAAGUCGAACGAGCUCUCCCAAAUUGAUUUUAUGCUUGCAUAAAUGAUUUUUGGAUUCGGAGCGAGUGGCGAACUGGUGAGUAACACGUGGGUAACCUGCCCCGAAGCGGGGGAUAACAUUUGGAAACAAGUGCUAAUACCGCAUAAUUAGUUGGAACCGCAUGGUUCCAACUUGAAAGAUGGCUCUGCUAUCACUUUGGGAUGGACCCGCGCCGUAUUAGUUAGUUGGUGAGAUAAAAGCCCACCAAGACGAUGAUACGUAGCCGACCUGAGAGGGUAAUCGGCCACAUUGGGACUGAGACACGGCCCAGACUCCUACGGGAGGCAGCAGUAGGGAAUCUUCCACAAUGGACGAAAGUCUGAUGGAGCAACGCCGCGUGAGUGAUGAAGGUUUUCGGAUCGUAAAACUCUGUUGUUAAAGAAGAACAAGUGUUAGAGUAACUGUUAACACUUUGACGGUAUUUAACCAGAAAGCCACGGCUAACUACGUGCCAGCAGCCGCGGUAAUACGUAGGUGGCAAGCGUUGUCCGGAUUUAUUGGGCGUAAAGCGAGCGCAGGCGGUUUUGUAAGUCUGCUGUGAAAGCCCUCAGCUCAACUGAGGAAGUGCAGUGGAAACUACAAAACUUGAGUACAGAAGAGGAAAGUGGAACUCCAUGUGUAGCGGUGAAAUGCGUAAAUAUAUGGAAGAACACCAGUGGCGAAGGCGGCUUUCUGGUCUGUUACUGACGCUGAGGCUCGAAAGCAUGGGUAGCGAACAGGAUUAGAUACCCUGGUAGUCCAUGCCGUAAACGAUGAAUACUAGGUGUUGGAGGGUUUCCGCCCUUCAGUGCCUCAACUAACUACAUUAAGUUAUUCUACCAUGGAAAGUAAUAACCUCCAAGUUGAAUAUCACAAGUGAAUUGACAA
rnacentral:rRNA from 2 species